rnacentral:rRNA from 1 species
UACGGAGGAUGCAAGCGUUAUCCGGAUUUAUUGGGCGUAAAGCGUCCGCAGGUGGCAGUUCAAGUCUGCUGUCAAAGGUCGGGGCUCAACCCCGAACAGGCAGUGGAAACUGAACAGCUAGAGUACGGUAGGGGCAGAGGGAAUUCCCAGUGUAGCGGUGAAAUGCGUAGAGAUUGGGAAGAACACCGGUGGCGAAAGCGCUCUGCUAGGCCGAAACUGACACUCAUGGACGAAAGCUAGGGGAGCGAAUGGGAUUAGAUACCCCAGUAGUCCUAGCCGUAAACGAUGGAUACUAGGCGUUGUGAGUAUCGACCCUCACAGUGUCGUAGCUAACGCGUUAAGUAUCCCGCCUGGGGAGU